rnacentral:rRNA from 1 species
UAGGGAAUCUUCGGCAAUGGGGGCAACCCUGACCGAGCAACGCCGCGUGAGUGAAGAAGGUUUUCGGAUCGUAAAGCUCUGUUGUAAGAGAAGAACGUGUGUGAGAGUGGAAAGUUCACACAGUGACGGUAACUUACCAGAAAGGGACGGCUAACUACGUGCCAGCAGCCGCGGUAAUACGUAGGUCCCGAGCGUUGUCCGGAAUUAUUGGGCGUAAAGCGAGCGCAGGCGGUUUAAUAAGUCUGAAGUUAAAGGCAGUGGCUUAACAAUUGUUCGCUUUGGAAACUGUUAAACUUGAGUGCAGAAGGUGAGAGUGGAAUUCCAUGUGUAGCGGUGAAAUGCGUACAUAUAUGGAGGAACACCGGUGGCGAGAGCGGCUCUCUGGUCUGUAACUGACGCUGAGGCUCGAAAGAGUGGGUAGCAAGCAGG